rnacentral:rRNA from 1 species
GACGAACGCUGGCGGCGUGCUUAACACAUGCGAGUCGAACGGAAAGGCCCUGCUUUUGUGGGGUGCUCGAGUGGCGAACGGGUGAGUAACACGUGAGUAACCUGCCCUUGACUUUGGGAUAACUUCAGGAAACUGGGGCUAAUACCGGAUAGGAGCCCCUGCUGCAUGGUGGGGGUUGGAAAGUUUCGGCGGUUGGGGAUGGACUCGCGGCUUAUCAGCUUGUUGGUGGGGUAGUGGCUUACCAAGGCUUUGACGGGUAGCCGGCCUGAGAGGGUGAACGGCGACAUUGGGACUGAGAUACGGCCCAGACACCUACGGGAGGCAGCAGGGGGGAAUAUUGCACAUUGGGCGGAAGCUUGAUGCAGCAACGCCGCGUGCGGGAUGACGGCCUUCGGGUUGUAAACCGCUUUCGCCUGUGACGAAGCGUGAGUGACGGUAAUGGGUAAAGAAGCACCGGCUAACUACGUG